rnacentral:tRNA from 1 species
GGAAGCAUCAUUCAGUAAUAGAAGACCUGCCUGGCAAGCAUGAAGAUGUGAGUUCAAAUCUCAGUACUUCCC